rnacentral:lncRNA from 1 species
AUCGAAGUACCAACAUAUAACCCCUACAAGCAAGGUAUCAAAACACCAAUGUACAAUCUCUACUGGCAAGACAUUGAAACAUAGUCUGACUACAAGUUCAAAUCUAUCUCAAAUCAAAACUAUUUUUCUUUAAAACAUUUUUCAUGUCCCAAAAGAGCUACAUUAUUUACCUUACAAGCAGACCCAACCAAUAGAUCCAAUUAAUUUUAAAAAUCUUUCUCAAAGCCUAAUAUUUAUAAAUUAUAUUUUUAUCAAAUUUUACUAUGAUUAUUUUUAAAAAUAAAUAUUUUAAGUUCUGACACCUUCAUAUGGUAGGCCA